CUCUAUAGUGUGAAAAUGCAUCCUGGUAGUUGCAUUAACUCGCACCUGUUGAUGAUGAAUCUGAAGUUCCAAAAGGCAAAUCUACUAGGAAUUGAUUUAUCAAGAGAACAAUGGGUCCAACUUAUCCUUAAUAGUCUUCCUCCGGAGUAUAAUGAAUUUGUUAUCUCUUACAUGAUCAACAAUUCUAACUCCUCCGACAUGGACAAGCUCGAAGCAGAAUUACGAGCCCAUGAACGGAACUUGAUUGCAAUGGGUUCCCCUAGGUUUGCAAUCAAUAAUCGAAGGAAAAGGACUAGGUAUGAAGGAUCUAGCAAAACUGCUUCUUCAAGUACAAUUAUCAGACAUCAUCUUCUAUGUUCGAAUUGUAAUGAAAAGGGUCAUCAUGAAGAACGAUGUCCCAGGCUUCUAAACAAUUCAAACAAAGUUGCUUGAAACUUGGGAAAAUCUGCUUCCAGGAGAGUUACAGCUUAAAGUUGGCAAUGGCGAAUUAGUAUCGGUCAAAGCUAGAGGAAAAGCCCGCAUCAAGUUUCAACAAAGAUUUUUAAUUUUAGAAAAUGUUUAUUUAUUCCAAACUUUAGUAGAAACUUGAUUAGUGUCUCAUGUUUGCAAACACAAUCUUAUAUAUUGAAUUUUUCGAGUACAAAUUGUUCAA